CAGUCGCCGCGGUAAUACGGAGGGUGCAAGCGUUAAUCGGAAUUACUGGGCGUAAAGCGCACGCAGGCGGUCUGUCAAGUCGGAUGUGAAAUCCCCGGGCUCAACCUGGGAACUGCAUUCGAAACUGGCAGGCUAGAGUCUUGUAGAGGGGGGUAGAAUUCCAGGUGUAGCGGUGAAAUGCGUAGAGAUCUGGAGGAAUACCGGUGGCGAAGGCGGCCCCCUGGACAAAGACUGACGCUCAGGUGCGAAAGCGUGGGGAGCAAACAGGAUUAGAUACCCCUGUAGUCCCUGUCUCUUAUAC
rnacentral:rRNA from 1 species